rnacentral:rRNA from 1 species
GAUGAACGCUGGCGGCGUGCCUAAUACAUGCAAGUCGAGCGAACAGACGAGAGUGCUUGCACUCUCUGACGUUAGCGGCGGACGGGUGAGUAACACGUGGGUAACCUACCUAUAAGACUGGGAUAACUUCGGGAAACCGGAGCUAAUACCGGAUAAUAUUUAGCUUCGCAUGAAGCAAUAGUGAAAGACGGUUCUGCUGUCACUUAUAGAUGGACCCGCGGUGUAUUAGCUGGUUGGUGAGGUAACGGCUCACCAAGGCAACGAUACAUAGCCGACCUGAGAGGGUGAUCGGCCACACUGGGACUGAGACACGGCCCAGACUCCUACGGGAGGCAGCAGUAGGGAAUCUUCCGCAAUGGACGAAAGUCUGACGGAGCAAUGCCGCGUGAGUGAAGAAGGUUUUCGGUUCGUAAAACUCUGUUGUAAGGGAAGAACAAGUACGUUAGUAACUGAACGUACCUUGACGGUACCUUACCAGAAAGCCACGGCUAACUACGUG